UACACCUAAAUAUUACGUGAAUCCAUGCCAAAUCACAAGUACCAAAAGGCUAUUAAUAGACUCAGUUAAGUCCUAAAUCCCCUCAGUUAUGACUUCUCUAAGAUUUGUGUCUUUCAGCUGAGGUUUAAUUGUUUAUAUCUUUAAACAGCUAAACAGUAGAAAUGAUUCACAUAAGGUCAGUACCCCUCACUGAAAUAACUGGCUCAAGUAAGAUUGCUUGGAGGUUAUUACCAGUCAUUAAAUGAAGGAUUGAUGGACAAGUGAAUAUUGCUAUCACGACCGAGAAUCAUGCCACAGAGUGACCAGAGAAGAAACAGAACUUCAAAACGAAUCACUGCGGCUGUCAUCAGUGAAACUCACAGGAAAAUAACCAUGGAUUAUCCAAGUAAUGACCCAUAAUAGAGCCAAGCCCAUGACUGUGAAGUGAGUAAAGUAUUCAAUUAAACAGACAAUCAAGAUUUAUGAGCUUCACAAAUCUCAUGGAAAGGGAGGCCUCGGAGAGCACACGUCGGCUAACUCCUAUUCACUCUCCCAGUCUUACUCUGUAUUCAUCAUUUUAAAAUCAAC